AGGGCUAGCUGCCUGGAAGCAAGGUACCUGAACUUGAGGAGUGCUAGGGAAUAGGGCAAGGGAGCUCCAGCCUUGUAAACCCUCAGGCUGCAGGCCUUAGUGAAGGCCUACAUAGGUGCUGGGGCUGCAGAGAUACAUCCUGGGAAUAGGCAAAGUCCUAACCCCUUGCCAAUGAUGAGUGGCCAUUAUAGACUGCAGUCUUCCCCUUGAGAAAGGGGCUUAAAUGAUGACUGGCAGUAGCCACUGAGGCAAGGUGGGUGUAGAGAGUUGGGGGUUCCCCUGGGAGGGGAGAUCCAGCUUGUGGGGGUACUGCAGUGGGCAGAACCCUGAGUUAAAGAGCACUGGGCUCCAGGAGGGACACUGGGGGGGCCAGCAGCAGGUGAGACACCAGCCAGUAGGUGGUCUGUAUGCUGUAGAGCUAAUUCCCGAGAUGACCAGGAGGAGGCGCUGCACCGGAAUUGGAUUCAUUUGAAAUCAAGGAUGCAGUUGUAAGACGACGACAAAAAAGGAGAAACAACACAUACAUCCAUCAAUAGAGACACUGUCAAGAUUGAAUGCUACAGCACACACCCCGGCUCUUAGUUCCCUAAACCAGGGACAUACAGAAGCAGAUUCUGAAGUAUAAAAUUGCUACUAGGAGACAAGCAUUGAACCUUCAGUCUGUCUCACUUGAAAACUGGCAUAUGAUGUUAGCAACUAAAAAACAACUGAAUCACAUCUGAAAUCAGCAUGCAACUUGAAAGCUACAUGUUCUUGCCCCU